rnacentral:misc_RNA from 1 species
GAUGAAGAACGUAGUGAAAUGCGAUACGUAAUGUGAAUUGCAGAUUUCAGUGAAUCAUCGAAUCUUUGAACGCACAUUGCGCCCGCUAGUAUUCUGGCGGGCAUGCCUGUUCGAGCGUCAUUUCAACCAUCAAGCCCUAGGCUUGCGUUGGAGCCCUGCGGCUGCCGCAGGCUUCCAAAUCCAGUGGCGGGCUCGUCGUCGUACCGAGUGCAGUAAACAUCCUCGCUCAGGGAACGUGACGGGUUCUUGCCGUGAAACCCCCCACAUAUCAAGGUUGACCUCGGAUCAGGUAGGAAUACCCGCUGAACUUAAGCAUAUCAAUAAGCGGAGGA